CACUGUUUCCAUUACGGCAUACCUCUUCACGCAGGAUUUGAACCAUUUCAUCUGCUAAGCCCUACCAUGGAUAGGUAGUACUCCAAAAAUCACAUAGGUGGAUGAUCCCAACCACCAAUUGGAACAAUUAAAAAAAGGAAAACACCCAACCAAUGGUUGGCAGUCAAUGGAGCCCAUACGUACGGAGAUCCAAUGCUUUAUGACUAACUUAGAUAUAACUGUUUAGUGCUGGAUCCUUUCCCUAAAACAUGAAACUUUCUACAGUAGAUAUUGAGCCUUU